AAUCAACGCUGGCGGCGCGCUUAACACAUGCAAGUCGAACGAGAAAGCGGGGGCAACCUCGUAAGUAAAGUGGCGUACGGGUGAGUAACACGUGGGUAAUCUACCUCUUAGUGGGGAAUAACGCUGGGAAACCGGCGCUAAUACCGCAUAAUCCCGGGAGGGGAAAGCAGCAAUGCGCUGAGAGAGGAGCCCGCGGCCGAUUAGCUCGUUGGUGAGGUAAAGGCUCACCAAGGCAAAGAUCGGUAGCCGGCCUGAGAGGGCACACGGCCACACUGGCACUGAAACACGGGCCAGACUCCUACGGGAAGCAGCAGUGGGGAAUCUUGCACAAUGGGGGAAACCCUGAUGCAGCGACGCCGCGUGAGCGAUGAAGCCCUUCGGGGUGUAAAGCUCUUUCGGCAGGGACGAAACAUGACGGUACCUGCAGAAGCAGCUGCGGCUAACUACGUGCCAGCAGCCGCGGUAAUACGUAGGCAGCGAGCGUUGUUCGGAGUUGCUGGGCGUAAAGGGUGCGUAGGCGGUCCCUUAAGUUUGGUGUGAAAUCUCCCGGCUCAACUGGGAGGGUGCGCCGGAUACUGAGGGGCUAGAGUGCGGGAGAGGAAAGUGGAAUUCCUGGUGUAGCGGUGAAAUGCGUAGAUAUCAGGAGGAACACCGGUGGUGUAAACGGCUUUCUGGACCGUAACUGACGCUGAGGCACGAAAGCGUGGGGAGCAAACAGGAUUAGAUACCCUGGUAGUCCACGCCCUAAACGAUGCACGUUUGGUGUGGGUGAUUCAGUUCAUCCGUGCCGGAGCUAACGCGUUAAACGUGCCGCCUGGGGAGUACAGUCGCAAGGCUGA
rnacentral:rRNA from 1 species